AUGGCGCUGGCCGUCGUCGUGGUGCUGCCCUCGCUGCCGCCGCCCCCACCGCCGCCGCCGGAGCAGAUCGUCGUCGCGGUGCUGCCCUCGCCGCCACCGCCGCCCCCGCCGGCGCGGGUCGUCGUCGUGGUGCCGGCGCGCGUGCGCCUCCCCGGCGUCCUCCGCGUCGCGGCCUUAGCCCUCAUCUACCUGGGCUUCGCGGUUGCGUGGGUCAUGGCCGCGGCCACGGCUGCAGAGGUCGUCGCGCGCCGCGCCUGGGGCGAGGGCUCCGCGCCAGUCCUGUUCCUCCAGGCGGUCAUGUACGGGGCCGUCAAGGUUUGCGUCUGCAUCAUCCUUGCGUUUUUCGCGCUUGUCGUCCUGCUGCUGUGCGCCCAGUGCGUGACCUACGUGAUUGCACCUGUAUCUGGAUCCACUUCGGGAUUCAAGAAGAGCACCUUCGGAGCAAUCAGGCCAGAAUUCACUGCACACUUUUUUAGGCUUCUGCGCCCAGCGGUGCUUGGAUUUGUCGUGGAUUUGGCCUUCGUCCUGCUAGCGGUCGCUGGUCUUCUGGUAGAGAUGAUGUCGCCACAUGUGAAGGGAUCGAUAUCUCAGGGGGAAAUGGUCGGUUCUGUAAUCGAGGAUGUGGGGAUAUUUGGUAUGCACGCGACAGUUUGCUUUCUUAUCAUCCCAGCUCUCGUUCUCAGUGUUUGGAGGGAGUGCUAG
rnacentral:rRNA from 1 species